rnacentral:rRNA from 1 species
CCUACGGGAGGCGGCAGUGGGGAAUAUUGGACAAUGGGCGAAAGCCUGAUCCAGCAAUGCCGCGUGAGUGAUGAAGGCCUUAGGGUUGUAAAGCUCUUUUACCAGGGAUGAUAAUGACAGUACCUGGAGAAUAAGCUCCGGCUAACUCCGUGCCAGCAGCCGCGGUAAUACGGAGGGAGCUAGCGUUGUUCGGAAUUACUGGGCGUAAAGCGUGCGUAGGCGGCUAUUCAAGUCAGAGGUGAAAGCCCGGGGCUCAACCCCGGAACUGCCUUUGAAACUAGAUAGCUAGAAUCUUGGAGAGGUCAGUGGAAUUCCGAGUGUAGAGGUGAAAUUCGUAGAUAUUCGGAAGAACACCAGUGGCGAAGGCGACUGACUGGACAAGUAUUGACGCUGAUGUACGAAAGCGUGGGGAGCAAACAGGAUUAGAUACCCUGGUAGUCCACGCCGUAAACGAUGAUAACUAGCUGUCCGGGCACUUGGUGCCUGGGUGGCGCAGCUAACGCAUUAAGUUAUCCGCCUGGGGAGUACGGUCGCAAGAUUAAAACUCAAAGGAAUUGACGG